GGUUAUACUGCAAGAGUUGUAUGAGAGUUUGUGAACCAAUGUUUCGAUAGAAUUUUGCUGUUGUUAAAAGCGAACAUCUAUGACUUCAGUUCAUCGAGAAUUUUCUCCAUUUUUGGAUUCUCUGUUGACAAGAGACUAAAGUUGAUGACCAUCUAGAAGGCGCGGACCUUUCCGACAGCUCCACUAAAUUUGAGGAAGCAAGACGGAACUGGACGACCUUCGUGUUUGCGUUAGUUUUCAAUGGGAUAUCAGGAACGUCCUUUUCUUCAUCUAGACUUGACUAUAUCCUGGAAUAUCACACAGCGUGUGUUUUUAUGCAUACUGAUCUGACAGACAGAAGAACUCUGGCAAGAAAAAAGGAAGAAGGUGUGUGCUUCAUGGUGAAUAAGACUUGGUAGGAAUGUCAAAAUCCAGUUCCUGUUUGCCUGGCACCACAAGGGGAAUACAUACUCUGGAUCACUGCUAAAGCUGCUCAGGGGCAGCUACAUAGCGGAAUUGCUGCCGACGUUUCGGAGGAGCGGUCAUGUGGUCAUCUAGCUGAGGUCAAAAUAUGUAAACAAAGUAUGAAGUAUGCCUCCAGUGACGUGAGAGGUCAGGUUGGCUGGGUCAGGCCACUCAAAGGCCACCCUUUAGUCUGCACUAAACAACUGUUGACGUCACAGAGACAUCGAUGAAUUCAGAGAGUCUGUGGUGGAUUUGAUUUGUAAUUUGUAAGCGACUGUAACGGAAACUGCAGUUAUAUCAUUGUACAACCAGAAACCAUGGAUCGCCAGAACCAUCUGUACAGCCAGUCGUGAAACAUGGACAAUAAUAAAGCAGCAGUCUGCAUUGUAAGAA